rnacentral:rRNA from 1 species
GUGGGGAAUAUUGGGCAAUGGGGGAAACCCUGACCCAGCAACGCCGCGUGAAGGAAGAAGGUUUUCGGAUCGUAAACUUCUAUCCUUGGUGAAGAUAAUGACGGUAGCCAAGAAGGAAGCCCCGGCUAACUACGUGCCAGCAGCCGCGGUAAUACGUAGGGGGCAAGCGUUGUCCGGAAUGAUUGGGCGUAAAGGGCGCGUAGGCGGCCUGGUAAGUCUGGAGUGAAAGUCCUGCUUUUAAGGUGGGAAUUGCUUUGGAUACUGUCGGGCUUGAGUGCAGGAGAGGUAAGCGGAAUUCCCGGUGUAGCGGUGAAAUGCGUAGAGAUCGGGAGGAACACCAGAGGCGAAGGCGGCUUACUGGACUGUAACUGACGCUGAGGCGCGAAAGUGUGGGGAGCAAACAGGAUUAGAAACCCGGGUAGUCC